CAGUCGCCGCGGGAAAACGGAGGGGGCUAGCGUUGUUCGGAAUUACUGGGCGUAAAGCGCACGUAGGCGGCUUGGUAAGUUAGAGGUGAAAGCCCGGAGCUCAACUCCAGAAUUGCCUUUAAGACUGCCGAGCUAGCAGGUGAGAGAGGUAAGUGGAAUUCCGAGUGUAGAGGUGAAAUUCGUAGAUAUUCGGAAGAACACCAGUGGCGAAGGCGGCUUACUGGCUCAUACUGGACGCUGAGGUGCGAAAGCGUGGGGAGCAAACAGGAUUAGAUACCCCGGUAGUCCCUGUCUCUUAUAA
rnacentral:rRNA from 1 species